rnacentral:lncRNA from 1 species
CCGCAGCCCUGCCCGCGCGGCCAUGGCGAGGUCCUCCGGGAGAGCGGGUCCGCGGCGGGCCGCAGCCCAGAAGGGGAAGGAAAGGGACGCUAUGUCGCAUCGCCACUUGAUUAUCCAAGUACACCCCAACACACGCGCGCGCACACACACACGCCCCACGCGCGCACAGACUCCUGCCCAGAAACGCUUGAAAUCCUAGCUCCUUUGUGGUCACUGUGAAUGAGGCACGCGCGUUUCUGUCGCUUUACCUGGUAACUGGCUGGGGAGGUGUACCUGACUUAGCUGGAGACUUUGAUUUGUGGGACUGACAACCUUAUUAUGCAGGGAGCUUAUUAUUGAUAUUAUUCUGCUCUCGGUUGCCAUGACCACCUUCUGAGAGACAUCCAAUUUUCUCUCUUCCAUCAUCAUUAUCUAUGAGGCCAUCUGUUGUGGAAAAUGAAUUCAGGCUCAUUUGCAUGACUGAUAAGCAAUUUUUUUUUAUCUAUUUAACAGAAGGUCAUAUGCCGGGGAUUUGGAGCUCGUGAAAAAAAUGUGGAAAAAAAAAGCAUGUCGAGAGGAUGAGUGGGAGUGUGCGCCGGGGUGUGUGUGGAAGGGAAGCGGGUCCCUCAGGCCCGCGAGCCUGGCGUGCUGCGUCUGCCGUUCCCGCCCGGGCGACAUUUUUGUUCCCUAAGCUGCUGCACACUCAACAGGAAGGGAGCUUUCCUCGCAGCCUUCUUCAAGCCCCCCUGGUUUUUGUACUCGUUGUUGAGAAGCUCACGUGGGCGCCGAGGUGCACGCAGCUGCCGCCCGGGCGUCCGUCUGACCCGCGUGGACGUCUGCAGAGUCCGCGAGCGCGAAAAUGA